rnacentral:rRNA from 1 species
AUUGAACGCUGGCGGCAGGCCUAACACAUGCAAGUCGAACGGUAACAGGAAGCAGCUUGCUGCUUCGCUGACGGGUGGCGGACGGGUGAGUAAUGUCUGGGAAACUGCCUGAUGGAGGGGGAUAACUACUGGAAACGGUAGCUAAUACCGCAUAACGUCGCAAGACCAAAGAGGGGGACCUUCGGGCCUCUUGCCAUCGGAUGUGCCCAGAUGGGAUUAGCUAGUAGGGGGGGUAACGGCUCACCUAGGCGACGAUCCCUAGCUGGGCUGGGAGGAUGACCAGCCUCACUGGAACUGAGACACGGUCCAGACUCCUACGGGAGGCAGCAGUGGGGAAUAUGGCACAAUGGGCGCAAGCCUGAUGCAGCCAUGCCGCGUGUAUGAAGAAGGCCUUCGGGUUGUAAAGUACUUUCAGCGGGGAGGAAGGCGAUAAGGUUAAUAACCUUGUCGAUUGACGUUACCCGCAGAAGAAGCACCGGCUAACUCCGUGCCAGCAGCCGCAGUAA